AGUGAACGCUGGCGGUAGGCCUAACACAUGCAAGUCGAACGGCAGCACAGUAAGAGCUUGCUCUUACGGGUGGCGAGUGGCGGACGGGCGAGGAAUACAUCGGAAUCUACUUUUUCGUGGGGGAUAACGUAGGGAAACUUACGCUAAUACCGCAUACGACCUACGGGUGAAAGCAGGGGAUCUUCUGACCUUGCGCGAUUGAAUGAGCCGAUGUCGGAUUAGCUAGUUGGCGGGGUAAAGGCCCACCAAGGCGACGAUCCGUAGCUGGUCUGAGAGGAUGAUCAGCCACACUGGAACUGAGACACGGUCCAGACUCCUACGGGAGGCAGCAGUGGGGAAUAUUGGACAAUGGGCGCAAGCCUGAUCCAGCCAUACCGCGUGGGUGAAGAAGGCCUUCGGGUUGUAAAGCCCUUUUGUUGGGAAAGAAAAGCAGCAGGUUAAUACCCCGCUGUUCUGACGGUACCCAAAGAAUAAGCACCGGCUAACUUCGUG
rnacentral:rRNA from 1 species